UACGUAGGUGGCAAGCGUUGUCCGGAUUUAUUGGGUUUAAAGGGUGCGUAGGCGGCUUUGUAAGUCAGUGGUGAAAUAUGGCAGCUCAACUGUCAAGGUGCCAUUGAUACUGCGGAGCUUGAGUACAGAUGAGGUAGGCGGAAUUGACGGUGUAGCGGUGAAAUGCUUAGAUAUCGUCAAGAACACCUAUAGCGGAGGCAGCUUACUAGGCUGUAACUGACGCUGAGGCACGAAAGCGUGGGGAGCAAACAGG
rnacentral:rRNA from 1 species